rnacentral:ncRNA from 1 species
UUAGUCAACGGCUAGCGGACAACCGUAAGGGAGGGGCAUUAAGGAGUUGACUAAAUAACACCU